UACGUAGGGGGCAAGCGUUGUCCGGAAUCAUUGGGCGUAAAGAGCGUGUAGGCGGCCCGGUAAGUCCGCUGUGAAAGUCAAAGGCUCAACCUUUGAAUGUCAGCGGAUACUGCCGGGCUAGAGUCCGGAAGAGGCGAGUGGAAUUCCUGGUGUAGCGGUGGAAUGCGCAGAUAUCAGGAGGAACACCAACGGCGAAGGCAGCUCGCUAGGACGGUACUGACGCUGAGACGCGAAAGCGUGGGGGAGCAAACAGG
rnacentral:rRNA from 1 species